rnacentral:rRNA from 1 species
CCCUUAGAUGUUCUGGGCUGCACGCGUGUUACAAUCGGGAGUACAACAAGAUUGCAAAUCCUAGUGGAUGAGUGGUUCUUCGAAAUUUUCUGAAGACUGGGAUAGUUGAUUGAAAUUAUUCAACUCAAACGAGGAAUUCCUUGUAAUUGUAAUUCAUUAUAUUGUAAUGAAUACGUCCCUGCCCUUUGUACACACCGCCCGUCGCUCCUACCGAUUGGGUGUGCUGGUGAAAUGUUCGGAUCGGCCGUUUGUCGCGGUUUCCGCGGCUCGUGGCUGAGAAGUUCAUUAAACCCUCCCACCUAGAGGAAGGAGAAGUCGUAACA